rnacentral:lncRNA from 1 species
CUGAUCCAAAACUACCUGAAGCGGGAUGUAAGAUUCUAGGGGAAGGCAUUUUCACAGCCACUGUGGAGGAGGUUUGGCUGCACAAUACGGUUGUGUUUAGCCCAGCGGAGAUCUUUCCCCAUUCCCACUUAUUGCCUAAGGAAGGAAUUGUUUCUGGUGGAGCUUCACCACGGAAUAUUCCCUCUCAGCAGUGCUGCAGCAGAGCACAAUGAAUGGAAUCGAUUCAGAAAGCAAGUCCCUCAUCCAAUUUUCUAUACCGACAGUUGCAGUAACACACAGAGUGCAUGAAGUCAUCUCAACCUGUUGCAGCAUAUCUCCCUUUAAGCCAGGAGGUGGCAGCGUUGGCAGGAUGGUGCAUGCUGCGUGCGGAUGGGCUGUGCUGCCUUCGCAGUGGAACACUGAGCUCCUGCAGCUGUGCUGGAGUGCAGCGUACAGCACGCCUUCAUUGCUUCUCGUCUUUGUAUUGGCUUAUACAGCUUUGAAUUCUUAAGUUUGAUGUUUUAAAAGGAAAAAAAAAAACCCAAAGUUAAAAUUAAUUAUAAUAUCAAGCUAUCCCUCCAAAAUACUGACAGAUUGGAAAGACAUACAUAAGGUUGCAAUGCUUUCCUUUUAAUUCAAGUUCUAGAGGAGCAUAUCUGUUAUUGAUCUGUGAAGGUAAACCAAGACCAAGAAAGAAGCCAAUCUACAUACUUCAGUUAAGAACAAGAAGGUAAACUCAGAGCUGUUACCUAAAAACAAGUGCAAAAAAGGCAAAAAAAGGUCAUCGCCUGCAUCCCCAACCUGCAGCAGGAAAGGAGCUGAGGAGGGCGCUGAGCAGCACGCCGGUACAGCACAGCUGCAGCGUUACCGAUGGGACGGCAGCGAUCUGCCUGCGCUGCCCCACGUGGGAGCCACCCGAUGCUGGGCUGGACUCGGACUCACAGGACAGCUGUCUGCCGUGCUCCUGCUGUAACCGAGUGGGAUUUAUGUGGACUCCAAAGGACAG